AACGCUAGCUACAGGCUUAACACAUGCAAGUCGAGGGGUUUUUCUUUAGAAGCUUGCUUUUGAAGGAGAACGACCGGCGCACGGGUGAGUAACGCGUAUCCAACCUGCCCUUCAUAUUGGGAUAGCCUCUCGAAAGGGAGAUUAAUACCGAAUAACAUAGAAUGAUUGCCUGAUUUUUCUAUGAAAGCUCCGGCGAUGAAGGAUGGGGAUGCGUUCCAUUAGGUAGUAGGCGGGGUAACGGCCCACCUAGCCUACGAUGGAUAGGGGUUCUGAGAGGAAGGUCCCCCACACUGGAACUGAGACACGGUCCAGACUCCUACGGGAGGCAGCAGUGAGGAAUAUUGGUCAAUGGGCGCAAGCCUGAACCAGCCAAGUAGCGUGAAGGAUGACUGCCCUAUGGGUUGUAAACUUCUUUUUUACGGGAACAAAUGUUGCUACGUGUAGCAAUUUGCGUGUACCGUACGAAUAAGCAUCGGCUAACUCCGUGCCAGCAGCCGCGGUAAUACGGAGGAUGCGAGCGUUAUCCGGAUUUAUUGGGUUUAAAGGGAGCGUAGGUGGUCUGUUAAGCCAGCUGUGAAAUACUGUAGCUCAACUACAGCCGUGCAGUUGGAACUGGCGGACUUGAGUGCACAAGAGGAAGGUGGAAUUCAUGGUGUAGCGGUGAAAUGUUUAGAUAUCAUGAAGAACUCCGAUUGCGAAGGCAGCCUUCUGGGGUGCAACUGACACUGAUGCUCGAAAGUGUGGGUAUCGAACAGGAUUAGAUACCCUGGUAGUCCACACAGUAAACGAUGGAUACUCGCUGCCGGCGAUAUAAUGUCGGUGGCUUAGCGAAAGCGUUAAGUAUCCCACCUGGGGAGUACGCCGGCAACGGUGAAACUCAAAGGAAUUGACGGGGGCCCGCACAAGCGGAGGAACAUGUGGUUUAAUCCGAUGAUACGCGAGGAACCUUACCCAGGCUCGAACGGCAAUCUGAAUGUUACCAGAGAUGGUUUCAGUCUUCGGACAGAUUGUCGAGGUGCUGCAUGGUUGUCGUCAGCUCGUGCCGUGAGGUGUCGGCUUAAGUGC
rnacentral:rRNA from 1 species